rnacentral:rRNA from 1 species
UACGGGGGGAGCAAGCGUUGUUCGGAUUUACUGGGCGUAAAGGGCGCGUAGGCGGCCAGCGCAAGUCAGUUGUGAAAUCUCCGGGCUUAACUCGGAACGGUCAACUGAUACUGCGCGGCUAGAGUGCGGAAGGGGCAACUGGAAUUCUCGGUGUAGCGGUGAAAUGCGUAGAUAUCGAGAGGAACACCUGCGGCGAAGGCGGGUUGCUGGGCCGACACUGACGCUGAUGCGCGAAGGCCAGGGGAGCGAACGGG